GAUGAACGCUGGCGGCGUGCCUAAUACAUGCAAGUCGAGCGAAUGGAUUAAGAGCUUGCUCUUAUGAAGUUAGCGGCGGACGGGUGAGUAACACGUGGGUAACCUGCCCAUAAGACUAGGAUAACUCCGGGAAACCGGGGCUAAUACCGGAUAACAUUUUGAACCGCAUGGUUCGAAAUUGAAAGGCGGCUUCGGCUGUCACUUAUGGAUGGACCCGCGUCGCAUUAGCUAGUUGGUGAGGUAACGGCGCACCAAGGAAACGAUGCGUAGCCGACCUGGGAGGGUGAUCGGCCACACUGGGACUGAGACACGGCCCAGACUCCUACGGGAGGCAGCAGUAGGGAAUCUUCCGCAAUGGACGAAAGUCUGACGGAGCAACGCCGCGUGAGUGAUGAAGGCUUUCGGGUCGUAAAACUCUGUUGUUAGGGAAGAACAAGUGCUAGUUGAAUAAGCUGACACCUUGACGGUACCUAACCAGAAAGCCACGGCUAACUACGUGCCAGCAGCCGCCGUAA
rnacentral:rRNA from 1 species